GACGAACGCUGGCGGCGUGCUUAACACAUGCAAGUCGAACGGAAAGGCCCUGCUUGCAGGGUACUCGAGUGGCGAACGGGUGAGUAACACGUGGGUGAUCUGCCCUGCACUUCGGGAUAAGCUUGGGAAACUGGGUCUAAUACCGGAUAGGAGCCAUCUUUAGUGUGGUGGUUGGAAAGUUUUUUCGGUGUAGGAUGAGCUCGCGGCCUAUCAGCUUGUUGGUGGGGUAAUGGCCUACCAAGGCGGCGACGGGUAGCCGGCCUGAGAGGGUGUACGGCCACAUUGGGACUGAGAUACGGUCCAGACUCCUACGGGAGGCAGCAGUGGGGAAUAUUGCACAAUGGGCGCAAGCCUGAUGCAGCGACGCCGCGUGGGGGAUGAAGGCCUUCGGGUUGUAAACUCCUUUCGCUAGGGACGAAGCUUUUUGGGACGGUACCUAGAUAAGAAGCACCGGCUAACUACGU
rnacentral:rRNA from 1 species